UACGGAGGGUGCAAGCGUUAUCCGGAUUUACUGGGUUUAAAGGGAGCGCAGGCGGAUUGGUAAGUCAGUGGUGAAAUACCCGUGCUUAACAUGGGAACUGCCAUUGAUACUAUCAGUCUUGAAUGUUGUUGAGGUUUGCGGAAUGGGUCAUGUAGCGGUGAAAUGCAUAGAUAUGACCCGGAACACCUAUUGCGAAGGCAGCAGGCUAAACAAAUAUUGACGCUGAGGCUCGAAAGUGUGGGGAUCAAACAGG
rnacentral:rRNA from 1 species